UGGGCAACCUGCCCCUCUCUCUGGGAUAACCCCGGGAAACCGGAGCUAAUACCGGAUACUCCGGCUGGAUCGCAUGGUCCGGCCGGGAAAGGUCCGCCGGAGAGGGAUGGGCCCGCGGCCUAUCAGCUUGUUGGUGGGGUCAUGGCUCACCAAGGCGACGACGGGUAGCUGGUCUGAGAGGACGACCAGCCACACUGGAACUGAGAUACGGUUCAGACUCCUACGGGAGCA
rnacentral:rRNA from 1 species